CGUCGCAGGAGCAGGUAGUUCACAUGGUCACGUGCGGCCGGAUCUGUUUACAAGCCCUGCGCUGCGGCAGCGCCUCGCGCCCGCCCGGGCCGCCCCCCGAGCGAGGCCGCGGUGCUGCGUCUGCGGCGCUCCGGAGGUGAGGCGCGGGUUGCCUGGCGCCGGGCAGGCGGGUAGGUGGUCGGGACCGGGGGCUUGUGAGCCUCCGCCACUCGCCCGGACCGAUCUCCCCGCCCCUCCUCCUCUUCUUCCCGACCCACUGGAGCCGGCGUGACGGAGGGACGCGUCUCCUAAACUCUGCGCCUCAGUAUCGCCACAAUGUUGCCAUUCGGCUGCUGACGUCGCGGCUCCACGAGGGACGUAAACACGGGCACGUGCCGCACGCUGGUGACGCGGCGGCGGAGGCGCGCACACCCCGCUCGCGCGCGUCGGCCCCGCCCCUCUGCGUCUCCCGCUCCCGCCCCCGCCCGCUCGCGGCCGCGCGCCUGAGUCUUCUCUUCCUCCGACUCAGCCUCCGUCUCCGGCGGUCUGGAGCCAGUGACCCGCAUGCAGGGAGAGGGGCAGGUGUACUCUGCGGGGCAGGUGGCCUCCGAACCCAGGAAAAGAGGAACGAAGGUGGAGGAGCUGAGAAUUUUUGAACUCCAGUCAUUCAAAGCUUGCAGGAUCUUAGUUCACCAACCAGGGAUCGAACCUGGGGCCCCGGCAGUGAGAGCGCUGAGUCCUAACCACUGGCUGUCAGGGAAUUCCCAGGUGAGAAAGCCAUACAAAUUCUAUGUGGCUGAGUUGGGAGUAGAAAGCAAGAUGUGUGAGUCCUGGACUUCCCUGGUGGCACAGUGGUUAAGAAUUCCCCUGCCAAUGCAGGGGACACGAGUUCGAGACCUGGUCCAGGAAGAUCCCUUGUGCCGUGGAGCAACGAAGCUCAUGCGCCACAACUACUGAGCCCACAUGCCACAACUAUUGAAGCCCGUGCACCUAGAGCCCAUGAUCCGCAACAAGAGAAGCCAUUACAGUGAGAAGCCUGCGCACCGCCGCGAAGAGUAGCCCCCACUCGCAGCAACUAGAGAAAGCCCACACACAGCAAUGAAGACCCAACGCGGCCAAAAAUAAAUAAAUUUAUUUUAAAAAAAAA